GCCUACAGCCAUACCAGCCUGCAAGAGCCUGAUCCUGUCUGAUUUUAGUGGCUAAACGGGGCCGACUUGGUUAGUAUUUUAAUGGCAGACUGCCUGGGAACACCAGGUUCUGUAGGCA
rnacentral:rRNA from 12 species